rnacentral:rRNA from 1 species
GACAGAGGUGCCAAGCGUUAGGCGGAAUCACUGGGCUUAAAGCGUGUGUAGGCGGGCGAUCAAGUACCUUGUGAAAUCCCACGGCUCAACCGUGGAACUGCUGGGUAUACUGGUUGUCUUGAGCCAGCUAGGGGCGAGCGGAACAGACGGUGGAGCGGUGAAAUGCGUAGAGAUUGGGUGGAACACCGGUGGCGAAGGCGGCUAUCUGGCUCACAACUGACGAUCAGGCGCGAAAGCGUGGGGAGCAAACAGG